rnacentral:rRNA from 1 species
AAAAUUGUAUAAUUAACAAGUCAGAGUAGUAUUAGUUAAGGUCUUGAAACUCAAAAAAUUUGGCGGUAUUUUAGUCUAUUUAGAGGAACCUGUAGUGUAAUCGAUAAUCCACGAUGGACCUCACUUAAUUUUGUUUUUCAGUUUGUAUACCGCUGUUAUUUGAAGAUUUUAUAAGAAUAUUAAUUUUCAUAGUUUUUAAUUAAAAAAUAUAUCAGGUCAAGGUGCAGUUUAUGAUUAAGAAUUUAUGGGUUACAAUAAAAUUAUUUAUACGAAUAAAAAUAUGAAACUAUUUUUUGAAGGCGGAUUUAAUAGUAAAUUUUUAAAGAUAAAAGAAUUGAUU